GACGAACGCUGGCGGCGUGCUUAACACAUGCAAGUCGAGCGGUAAGGCUCCUUCGGGAGUACACGAGCGGCGAACGGGUGAGUAACACGUGAGCAAUCUGCCCUUCACACGGGGAUAACCCUCGGAAACGAGAGCUAAUACCCGAUACGACCACUUCAGGCAUCUGAUGGUGGUGGAAAGUUCCGGCGGUGAAGGAUGAGCUCGCGGCCUAUCAGCUUGUUGGUGGGGUAACGGCCCACCAAGGCAACGACGGGUAGCCGGCCUGAGAGGGUGACCGGCCGCACUGGGACUGAGACACGGCGCAGAAUCCUACGGGAGGCAGCAGUGGGGAAUAUUGGACAAUGGGCGAAAGCCUGAUCCAGCAACGCCGCGUGAGGGAUGACGGCCUUCGGGUUGUAAACCUCUUUCAGCAGGGACGAAGCGCAAGUGACGGUACCUGCAGAAGAAGCACCGGCCAACUACGUGCCAGCCGCCGCCGUAA
rnacentral:rRNA from 1 species